ACGGAGAUGGUGUAACUGGCAACAUGACGGUCUCCAAAACCGUUGAUCUGAGUUCAAAUCUCAGUCUCCGCG
rfam:Lyngbya majuscula 3L genomic scaffold scf52063, whole genome shotgun sequence.